CACAAACUGGGAAAGGUGUGAGUCAGCGUUUGCUCUUGAGGAGCUGCAGUUAUUGUUGUGCCUGAUUCAUGCACAUCCACCCACUUCUCACUGAAAUGCUGAGUUUGCUCUUGGCGUCUGAAGCACUUUGGGCUGGCUGUUACUUGUGCCCUGUCUGUAAUAUCACACUUACUUCCAUAGUAAAUCCAUUCCAUAACUCCAUUCUCACAUGGAACGAAAUAAACACCAGAUUAAGUCACAGGAGAGCUUCUGUAAGCCUUGAUGUGGGCCCUGAAAGCCAUCACUGUGUUGGUGUGCAGCGCUCCAAGUGUGCUUUCCCCAGGGUGGGUCUGUUUGAAGAGCCACCUGUGCUGAGCUGCUGUGCUCAGUGAAUCUGCCCAACUGAAGCCUUCUGUUGUGGGUUAUUGUGCUGUGGGAUAGAGCACAGACCAGCGCCCUCAAAACCUUGAAUUCUGA